UGAUUGAUACAUUUGUCACAGGAAAUGAAAGUCACCCUGUUCCUGUUUCUGUCUGGUCUUUGUCUCUCUUCUGUCAGGGUUAAAGACAGCAGAAAGGAAAGGGAAGAGGUUGUAAACAACAGAUCUUAGUGUGAAGACCAUGGAAAGCAUUCAAUGAGUACAGAAAACACAGGAUUCAGAUAGGGAGGAAAGCACACACAAGGUGGUAGAAUGACAUGGGCUGCGUUGAAGAGUAGAGAGGAAUCUAAGCAUAGCAUCUACAGCACAUUCUGCAGGGAGAGAGGAAGCACACUCCUCAGUAUCAGCAACCGUCAGUACAGGUAAUAAGAGAUCCCUCAAUGGCUGUGGAAGGAGCAAUCACUCCAGGAAUGAAGCAGUGUUGAUACACUACAGCUAGUGAAGGCAGCAGCAUCCUGGAUAACAGACCUCAUAUCCUGCAAGUA